UCCUGGCUGGCUCAGUCUGUAGAGCGUGUGACUCUUGAUCUCGGGGUGGUGAGUUCAAGCCUCACGUUGGGGA
rnacentral:tRNA from 1 species